UACGUAGGGUGCGAGCGUUGUCCGGAAUUAUUGGGCGUAAAGGGCUCGUAGGCGGUUUGUCGCGUCGGGAGUGAAAACCCAGGGCUUAACCCUGGGCUGGCUUCCGAUACGGGCAGACUAGAGGUAUGCAGGGGAGAACGGAAUUCCAGGUGUAGCGGUGAAAUGCGUAGAUAUCUGGAGGAACACCGGUGGCGAAGGCGGCAUCCUGGACCGACACUGACGCUGAGGAGCGAAAGCCAGGGGAGCAAACGGG
rnacentral:rRNA from 1 species